UAAUCAAGUGUUUUUAUGGCACUUUCAAAAAUCCAUAUCCACCUUGUGUGCAAUGUCAUCUCUCUGGGGGCUGCCGGCUGUCAAAAGCCCGUGUGGUCACCUUUGGGAUUUAUAUCUACUCAGAACUUUAGUGAUUUUGUCUGAAACAUAUUAUGAAUACUUAAUUCAAAAUA
rnacentral:misc_RNA from 1 species